rnacentral:ncRNA from 1 species
CCUUUUGAGGGUUUGAUCCUGGCCCAGGGUGAACGCUAGCGGCGUGCCUUAAGCAUGCAAGUGGGACGAUCCGUCGCAAGACGGGUAGUCGCGAACGGCUGAGUAACACGUAAGGACUUACCUCUUGGUGGGGAAUACCCCCGCGAAAGCGGGGCUAAUACCGCAUAAGUUCUAUUGAAGAAAGCACUUAACUGUGCACCGAGAGAGAGACUUGCGUACCAUCAGUUUGUUGGUAGGGUAACGGCCUACCAAGACUAUGACGGUUAGGGGGCGUGAGAGCGUGACCCCCCAGAAUGGGACUGAGACACGGCCCAUACACCUACGGGUGGCAGCAACUGGGAAUCGUGCGCAAUGGGCGAAAGCCUGACGCCGCGACGCCGCGUGAGGGAUUAAGGCCUUCGGGUCGUAAACCUCUUUUGUUUCCGUCGAGAGACGGAGAAGAAUAAGCACCCGCUAACUACGUGCCAGCAGCUGCGGUAAUACGUAGGGUGCAAGCGUUGCCCGGAUUUAUUGGGCGUAAAGAGUUUCGUAGGCGUUUCUCUAAGUUGUGUUUUAAAGACCGAGGCUCAACCUCGGAAAGGGGCACAAUACUGGAGAAAUUGAAGAAUCUAGGGGUUACUGGAACUCAUCGUGUAGGAGUGAAAUCCGUUGAUAUGAUGAGGAACACCAAGGGCGAAGGCAAGUAACUGGAGAUUUCUUGACGCUGAGGUACGAAAGCUAGG